rnacentral:rRNA from 1 species
AUUGAACGCUGGCGGCAUGCUUUACACAUGCAAGUCGAACGGCAGCGCGGGCUUCGGCCUGGCGGCGAGUGGCGAACGGGUGAGUAAUACAUCGGAACGUGCCCAGUAGUGGGGGAUAGCUCGGCGAAAGCCGGAUUAAUACCGCAUACGACCUGAGGGUGAAAGCGGGGGAUCUUCGGACCUCGCGCUAUUGGAGCGGCCGAUGGCAGAUUAGCUAGUUGGUGGGGUAAAGGCCUACCAAGGCGACGAUCUGUAGCUGGUCUGAGAGGACGACCAGCCACACUGGGACUGAGACACGGCUCAGACUCCUAUGGGAGGCAGCAGUGGGGAAUUUUGGACAAUGGGCGAAAGCCUGAUCCAGCAAUGCCGCGUGUGUGAUGAAGGCCUUCGGGUUGUAAAGCACUUUUGGCGGGAACGAAAAGGACUGUGCCAAUACCACGGUUCGAUGACGGUACCCGCAGAAUAAGCACCGGCUAACUACGUG